AAAGUCAAACUCAAAUGGACUUGUCAUUUUUGUCAUUUUGUGGUACGUCAAAUAUGGAGGAGGAUCGUCUUUUCGACGAAAGAAUUUCAAUCCGGGAAUCUGCCCGUCCGCUCAAGAAAUACGGGAGCACAUGCAACCACAUGAAAAGGAACGAGGAAUACAUCAAACAUGUAAUGGCAAAAGGCGAUACGUUACAAGGGAUUGCAUUAAAAUAUGGUGUCACAAUGGAGAAGAUAAGGCGGGCUAAUCGUCUAUUUGCGUCGGAUAGUUUGUUUUUGAGAGAGUAUUUGUUGAUUCCUGUAACCAAGGAGUCUCCAUUCUAUGAGAAUGGAGAGAGAGUAACAGAACCUGCGCCGCCCAGCCACCGCGCGUCGAUCGCAGGGAUGCCAACCAGGGACUUCUCACCUGGAAGUCCUGAUGAGAAAGAGUCAUUUGACAACUUUCUCAAUAGACUGGACUCUUCCAUUGCUAACAUCAAGAAACAUGUAGAAAAAUCUAAGGAGAAUAGCGAGUUCGUCAAAGACCUAGAAGACGGUUUCGUGAGGCACCGGCCGACGGCUCGGCUGAGGCAGUCACAGUCAAUGGGCGCGUCGACGUCGUACAACGAGGUCAUCCCCCCGCCCCUGCCGCCUCCGCCCUCGGCGUUGACCCAGGGCCGCAGGGUCGACAGCUCGCUCAAACGACUCGAGAGAGCCCACGACGACUUGUUCCAGUUGUAGCGGCCGAGACAGCGCAGGUAUGCGCGGUUAGAAUGAGCGGGAUGCUUCCCCGCUGUGACGUCACAGCGCCCGAAGGAUCUCCCAUCUCGGCACGCUAGUGUUGUAUACGAAACGAUCGUAUGAACUGAAAGUACAUGCUUGGUGUUACACUUUCACGGCAAGUGAUAUUAGGUAAUAAAUUGUACUGUAAUGAUCUGUUUUGUUGAUUGGGCCACGUUGGUACUGACAGGUGGCUAGCUUAGAGCCUAGGGUCUCUGUUCACUGCGGAAGCGGAACCGAUCGAAACGGGAUAUUAUGUUAAGCACUUGUCAGACUAAUCAGAUUUAUUUUUAUAAUGUAUGACGUGAUAAUAUCUUUUCAUAUCGUAGAUGGGUAUAUCUAUUACCUAUAAUCGGAGAGGAGAAGAGAUGCGUUUAGUCGACCAAUCAGAUUCAUAACA